rnacentral:lncRNA from 1 species
UCUUUGACAUAACUUAGAUCGGAAAUUACCAAAAUACAAGUCACCAAAAGAACAUUUAUCAAUAGAAGCAUGAGUCCCUAGUUCCCUAAAAAAAAUUCAAAAUAAUUGACUAACACCAAAUCGUAUAAUUAAUGUGAAUCAAUAAUGAAAUAAAUUAAUAUUUACGAUGGAUAUCUACCAACACCAAUUCAAUUGAAACAAAUUUUGAUUUAUUCAUGAUUCUAAAGUAUCAACACCUUUACUCUAAUUUUAUAGCAAUAUUUAGCUGACUCAA